UGGGUAACCUGCCCUCAGCUUUGGGAUAACCCUCGGAAACGGGGGCUAAUACCGGAUAUGACGCGCUACUGCAUGGUGGUGUGUGGAAAGUGUUUGCGGCUGGGGAUGGGCUCGCGGCCUAUCAGCUUGUUGGUGGGGUGAUGGCCUACCAAGGCGGCGACGGGUAGCCGGCCUGAGAGGGCGACCGGCCACACUGGGACUGAGACACGGCCCAGACUCCUACGGGAGGCA
rnacentral:rRNA from 1 species